CGCCCCUGGGAUUAUGAGUGAGGCAGUGACAUCCCCCCUGCCCCCCGCCCGCUCCCUCUCCCCCAAGACCCUUGAGGCCAGGUCGUUCGGUGGUGCAUCACAGCGUCACAGACUCACAGAUGGCGCGUAGCUGAGGCAGCGACGCGUGGACGGCGCUGAUGGCGGCCAGAACCUCUUGGGCGUCUUGGUCACACACGGCCAGGCGGAGCCCCACCAGGCCCCGGCACUCCUGCAGCAGCUGUGUGCCGGCACCACUUAGGUGACCCGUGAACCAGUGAAGAAGCAGUUGACCAAAAUAAUAAUGUCAGAAGUAAGAGUAAGCUGUGAAGGAAGAACAUCUGUCAUAAAGUGUUACUGGAGGCACGAAAAUGUCAAAGAAGUGCAAAGACAAUUCAGAAGACACUUUGACAGGGAUCCACCAAGGCGACACAGCUAAUACCGAACGGCCUGGAAACACUGAGCCAAAGGGACGCCGCUCAGUCUGCAGCCAGUGUGGCGGCGUAUCUUGUGUGGUGCGCGUGUGUAUCGCAUUGUGUUCCUCCUCAAAGACUUGGUGGUGGUCAAGAUAACCAGGAUUGGCCAAGCCCUCCCUGAAGUGUGCUACCAGUAGUGUACCAGAAACAGUUGGGCAAAAUAAUAAUGUCAGAAGUAAGAGUAAGCUGUGAAGGAAGAACAUCUGUCAUAAAGUGUUACUGGAGGCACGAAAAUGUCAAAGAAGUGCAAAGACAAUUCAGAAGACACUUUGACAGGGAUCCACCAAGUACCGAACGGCCUGGAAACACUGAGCCAAAGGGACGCCGCUCAGUCUGCAGCCAGUGUGGCGGCGUAUCUUGUGUGGUGCGCGUGUGUAUCGCAUUGUGUUCAUCCUUAAAGACUUAGUGGUGGUCAAGAUAACCAGGAUUGGCCAAGCCCUCCCUGAAGUGUGCUACCAGUAGUGUACCAGAUUUGCAUCAAUAACGACCACCACCACCACCACCACCACCACCACCACCAGCAUGUCAGUAGUAGCAGGAGUAGUGAAUGGUCACUCGUAUGUGGUGACUACUUGGACUAUCAGGCCGCCCUUGUAGUGUGCUGGACUAUCGGUCAACAAUGAGCCGAGAAAGUUACGUGGUACAACUAUUUCGGCGAUAGUAGUGGCUGUAAGUAGUAGUAGUAGUUGUAGUAAUAGUAGUUGUAAUAGUAGUUAUGCGUGUAAUGUCAAUAUGGUUCAUUUUGUAACUGUAAUUGGAAAGAUUCUCGACUUUAUGUUUCUUAAAGGCGUGACGUAAUUACAGAAAACGUAUGUAUUUUAAGGCACACUAGCCUGUACUUCAUUAUUCCUGUUUAUUGCUAUUAUAUUAUAUUUUUGAUAGUUUUUCUUGUAUAUACUAUUUAAAUCUACUAUUCUGUGAUGUUUAAUACUACUACUUAUUAUGUUUAAGUGGGAGAAGUCAGAGAAAGAGCUAUAUUUAUAAUUUUUUUACUUUUAAGGUCAAUAUGGUCCAUUUUAUUAAGUAAAUUUGUAGGAUGCUUGACCUUGUUUCUUAGAUAAGUGACGUAAUUAGAGAAAACGUAUGUUUUUUAAGGGACACUAACCUAUAACCUAUACUUCAUUAUUCCUGGUUAUUAUUAUAUUAGAGAGAGAGAGAGAGAGAGAGAGAGAGAGAGAGAGAGAGAGAGAGAGAGAGAGAGAGAGAGAGAGAGGAGGAUUUAGUAUGUCUUCUAUAUAUGUGUGUUUUCAUUAUCAUCAUCAUCUUAUUCUUUUCUUCUUCUUCUUCUUGUUAUUAUUAUUGUUAUUAUUAUCAUUAUUGUUAUUAUUAUUACUAUACACACACACUCAAACACACAGUAGUAGUAGUAAUUAUAAUAGGAAGAAGAGAAACAUGAUGAUGAUGAUGAUAAGGAGGAGGAGGAGCAGGAGGAGAAGGAAGAAGAAAAAUUGUUCUACUUUUCUGUAAUAUAUUUCUAAAUAACUAUAAGUGGAAAAGCAGAACUAAUAGUGCACCAUGAUAGUCCAUUAAAUUGUUCACAUCUGACUAUCGCCAUCAUCAAUUACAAAUUAGUUAAAAAAAAUGAAAAAUAUACAGCAAUUCUAAUUUUGAGGCACCUAAAUAGUUUCAACAUUUUUCACAAUAUCUAAAUAACUAACAGACGAAAACAAAAUGUAGCAGUACACCAUGAUAGUCCAUUAAAUUCCUCAUCUCUGACUAUCACCAUCACCAAUUACAAGUUAGUUAAUAAAGAGAAAAAUUGAAAAAAAAAUAUAUAUAGCAUAUCAAAUUCUAAGACACGCAGAUACUUUCAACAUUUUUCUGAAUAUCUAAAUAACUACCGCCAAAGAAACAAAACCAAUAGUACACCAUGAUAGCCCAUUAAAUUCCCCACAAUUUCCUAUCAACACUAUUCAAAAAGUAUAUUAAAAAAAAAACAUGAAAACAAAAAAACACUUCAAAAACUCCCAAAAGACACUGAACAAAGAUCAAGAUUCAAGAUUGUAAACAUAGGACGGAGCCUGUAUACAGAGGAGCUAGCAGCCAGGAUGAGAAGAAUGAAUGUAGGGGUAAGUGUGGGGAAUGAUAAAGUAUGUGUGCUCCUUUAUGCAGAUGAUGUAGUUGUUAUGAGUGAAUCAGCAGAUGAGCUUCAAAGUUUGUUGGAUGUAGUGGAUGGCUAUGGUAAAGACUUUGGAGUAAGGUUUAGCAGUGAGAAAAGCAAAGUAAUGAUUGUGAAUAGGUCAGAGGAUGAAAGUAAUGUGGUAUGGAGACUUGGAGAGAAUGAGUUGAGACAGGUGCAAGAAUACAAGUACUUAGGGAUGUGGAUGAGUCCUAGUGGGUGUGCAAAGGCAAAGAAUGAAAAGAUAAGUAUGGUAAACCAGUGGGUAGGUCGAUUGGGAAGCGCGGCAAGGAUGAGAGCAAGUAAGUAUGAUGUGUUGAGAGAAGUGUGGAAGAGUGUGGCUGUGCCAUGUAUAAUGUAUGGUAUGGAUGUGAUUGCAUGGAAUGAAAGCGAAAUUGAUAAGUUAGAAGUGGGCCAGAAUAGAGUAGCAAGGAUGGCACUGAGUGCACCGAGGUGCACAGCAGUUGAAGCCUUGAGAGGUGACAUGGGAUGGAGCACCUUCAGAGAAAGACUGACAAAAGCUACACUUAGGUACAAGAUUAGGCUUGAGAGAAUGGAUGAUGCAAGAAUAGCAAGAAAGGUGUACCUGUGGAAUGAAAGUGGAAGCAAAUGGAGGAAGAGAUGCAUGAGAAUGACAGACAGGAAUGGAUUGCAAGUUGUGUGGGCGAUAAGAAUGGCUGGGAGGAAUCAAAAUGAGCGUGAAUGGGUGGUAACAAGAGGAGGAAGAGUGGGAGCCGAAUGGGAUGUGAGAAAAUGGAAGAAUGAGAUAGACAAAGAAGUGAAAUGUGUGGGACUGAAUGAAUGGAAGACUGAGAUGGAAAGAAAGAAGACCCUGGAAUGGUACAAGGAGAAAGAGGCCCCGAGGUAUGAAAGGUGGUAUGAUGGAAGCCUGGGCGGUGAUCUUCUCUUCCGAGCGAGGGCACAGUGUAUGGAUGUGAAUGCAAGGAGUUACAGGUGGUCUGAGUCCCGCAGCAAAGUGUGCCAGAUGCGUGACAUGGGAGAGGAUGAGACAGUGGAACAUGUGGUGCUGGAGUGUGUGAAGUAUGCCAGAGACAGGAAUGAGAUGAUGCAAGUGAUACUGACUGAGUUAGGGCAUGAUAGGAAUGAAAGAGUGGAGAACACAGGAAAAGAAUGGAUGGUGUUGUUGCUGGGACUGUGUAGAGAGGCGAAUGAAAGGAUGAUUGAGGCGGUGAAAGAGUUUCUGGAGAGAAUGUGGCGUGCCAGGUGUAUGAACAAUUAGGAUAGAGGAUGCUGUUCGUUUCUCUCUUUUUUUUUUUUUUUUUCCCUUUCUACAGGAGUUGCCGAUCCAAAGGCCUGGCUCAGGAGUGAUCCUGUGCCACCUGUACCAUCAAGAUCAAGAUCAAGAUGGUGAGUCUGCGUACAAAAUUGCAUCGGAGGGGUUGGUAGAGGCAGCCACAAUUAUCCAUCAUCAUCGGCGACACCAUGGCUCUUGAGAAGACCUCCUCUUCUCUCUUCCCAUCUCUUCCUCCUCCUAGCCCAACCAAGCCUAAUUCUCUCUCUCUCUCUCUCUCUCUCUCUCUCUCUCUCUCUCUCUCUCUCUCUCUCUCUCUCUCUCUCUCUCUCUCUCUCUCUCUCUCUCUCUCUCUCUCUCUCUCAGACAGACAGACCUCAAUGACAGCGUGGUGAGCGAGGAGGGGGAGUCAACCAGCAGAGUAGGGGAGCAUGACCCCUACUUUGAACCAGUGGUGACCUUGCUGGAGGUCUUCGUGGUUAGUGAUGAUGACCAGGAGGAGGAAAUGAUGAGACUGAGUUUCGAGAUCAGGCAGUACAAGCUGUUUCGUUAUCACACCUCUGAGUCGCCCCCACAGUGGAAGGAACGGGGCAUGGGGGCCAUUAACAUUCUGAGGAACAAGCAGAAGAAGGCUGUGGAGUUUGUUCAGCAGCAGAAUUAAUGCCAGUGGUUGAGUUCAGAUCCUCCAAGACACACACACACACACACAGCAGCCCCUCCACCUCCCCACAGCCCUCCACAGCCCCUGACAUAGCAUCUGACACAGCCCCUUCACAGAACACCACAUACCUCACACAUACAUAAGAACAUAAGAACAUAAGAAAUAAGGGAAGCUGCAAGAAGCGACCAGGCUUACACGUGGCAGUCCCUGUAUGAAAUAUACCUACCUAUUUCCAUCUGUUAUCCCCAUCCAUAAACUUGUCUAAUCUUCUCUUAAAGCUCUCUAGUGUCCUAGCACUAACAACAUGAUUACUGAGUCCGUUCCACUCAUCUACCACUCUUUUUGAGAACAAUUUUUUUCCUAUCUCCAUCCUAAACCCAAAUUUUUCAAGCUUGUACCCAUUAUUUCUUGUUCUACCCUGGUUGCUGAUCCUAAGAAUUUUGCCUACAUCCCCCUUGUUAUAACCCUUAUACCACUCAAAGACUUCUAUCAGGUCCUCUCUUAACCAACGUAUCUCUAAAGAAUGUAAAUUUAACAGCUUCAACCUCGCCUCAUAAGGAAUACUCCUCAUCCCCUGUAUCCUUUUAGUCAUUCUCCUCUGUAGUGAUUUUAAUAGACCUAUAUCUUUCCUGUAAUGUGGGGACCAGAACUGCACAGCGUAGUCUAGAUGAGGUCUGACCAGCGCCAAGUAUAACUUUAAUAUUACUUCCGGCCUUCUACUUUUAACACUCCUAAAAAUCACACACACCACAGGAGCCUCACAAACAGUCUCACAGCCUUCACAAGCAGCCCCACACUCCACCACAGACACACCAGACCCACAGCCCUUCAUCUCACCCACUUCCCAGCCCCCCACAGCCCCCCGGCCACCACAGAUGAAGUCAAAGGGAGGGACUGUGGCUUCACCCAGCCAGCCAGGACAGCCUACAGAGAGGGGGUAGUCCCAGUCAAGUCACAAAAUAUAGGCUUGGUUCUUCCUACAGUUUGAAGUCAAUGAUUGGACAGGCCAGACAGCUUAGUGGCAGAGCUGCAGGUGGUCCUCGUCAGCUUCCUGGUGGCACAGGUGUAGGAUGGCUGGGAGCAGUGGAGGUGCCUGAUGGGGCAGCUGUGCCGGGCAGAGGGGCUGCUACUGCUGCUGCUGCUGCUGCUGCUGCUGCUGCUGCUGGGGAAGAGCCACACUUGUAUGACCCAUGGUUACUGACCUCGACUCAAACACCAUCGUGGCACUCUCUUCCCUGUUAAACUUGCCGGGAUCCAUUGUAAUGUAAGGGGUAUUGAAUGUGAGCGAUGAAACAAGAAGGUAGUGGCAAGGGGGAAAUGUACAGGGGAGCGCAGGAGAGACGCCUCUCUCCACUGUGCCUGACAGUCUCUCAGUGAUUGAAAGACUGAGCAUAACAUCUUCAGGGCACGUGGUAACACGGAGAGGAAGUGGAAGAAAGCUUGGAACGCUCCCAUAACUCAGGAGCAAGAGGUACACCAUACUGGAACCUUGUGACUGACAGAUCUCACUUGUGUUGGCUAACAUUCUGUCUGCAAUCAGUCCGGUAGUGCCAUGUUGCAGGCUCUGACGUCAGGAAGAGCCAAAUGGAGGGUGUGUCUACAGCCAGUACUGGGUGUGCUGCUGCUGUACAAGUGCCCCAAGCCAGCUGACUCCACCAGUGUAUUAUCUAGUCCAGGUUGCAUUGCUGUGUGUAUGACUUGUAUGUCUUUGCCAAUAAAUAAAUUUGUGACUACUAUUAUAUAUGUGAAAUAAAUAUAUAGUUUGCUAACAACAAUGUGCUGGUAUAGUGUAAAAUAAAUAUUUGGUGGUAACAAUUCAUGCCCUCAAGGUAAUAAAAAAAAAGUGCCAGGAUUGGCCCAAGGCCCAAAAAUAAAGUUUAAGGUAUGAUUUGCACAGAAGCCCCAUCCCAACGACACCAGUUGCUGGGACAGGGCUUCUAUGCGUUUUUUUUCAGGGCAUGACCUGUACUCUGCCUGAAACUUUAUUUACACAAGAUGGAAUACUGAAUGUUUAUUGUUUUACUGUGAAUGUUAAGUGAAUAAAUACACAACAGGAUAAUAAACAUG